GUGGGGAAUAUUGGGCAAUGGGCGAAAGCCUGACCCAGCAACGCCGCGUGAGGGAAGAAGGUUUUCGGAUUGUAAACCUCUGUCCUUGGUGACGAACACAAUGACGGUAGCCAAGGAGGAAGCCCCGGCUAACUACGUGCCAGCAGCCGCAGUAAUACGUAGGGGGCAAGCGUUGUCCGGAAUGACUGGGCGUAAAGGGCGUGUAGGCGGCCGAUUAAGUCUGGAGUGAAAGUCCUGCUUUCAAGGUGGGAAUUGCUUUGGAGACUGGUUGGCUUGAGUGCGGAAGAGGCAAGUGGAAUUCCCAGUGUAGCGGUGAAAUGCGUAGAGAUUGGGAGGAACACCAGUGGCGAAGGCGACUUGCUGGGCCGUAACUGACGCUGAGGCGCGAAAGCGUGGGGAGCGAACAGGAUUAGAUACCCCGGUAGUCC
rnacentral:rRNA from 1 species